AGUGCUCCCUGCUGCAUCAUCCGAAGAAAGGGCGGCAAGGGGAACUGCCGAAGCACCGUCGGUAGUUUCAUCAACUGAGGAGGUUCGGGUCGAGGCAGAAGAACUCGAACAAUCUGCGGCUGCACUAGUUGCUCCUUCAGCUAGGGUGCAGUCGAGUUCAAGCUUCCCCUCACUUUCGAAUGUGGGACCGCCGACAAGGGACCGGGGGAAAGCUUUGGUGACUUCGGCGGAAGAUGCAACAUUGGAGGGCC
rnacentral:lncRNA from 1 species